rnacentral:rRNA from 1 species
UGGGGAAUAUUGCACAAUGGGCGCAAGCCUGAUGCAGCCAUGCCGCGUGUAUGAAGAAGGCCUUCGGGUUGUAAAGUACUUUCAGCGGGGAGGAAGGUGUUGUGGUUAAUAACCACAGCAAUUGACGUUACCCGCAGAAGAAGCACCGGCUAACUCCGUGCCAGCAGCCGCGGUAAUACGGAGGGUGCAAGCGUUAAACGGAAUUACUGGGCGUAAAGCGCACGCAGGCGGUCUGUCAAGUCGGAUGUGAAAUCCCCGGGCUCAACCUGGGAACUGCAUCCGAAACUGGCAGGCUUGAGUCUUGUAGAGGGGGGUAGAAUUCCAGGUGUAGCGGUGAAAUGCGUAGAGAUCUGGAGGAAUACCGGUGGCGAAGGCGGCCCCCUGGACAAAGACUGACGCUCAGGUGCGAAAGCGUGGGGAGCAAACA